rnacentral:lncRNA from 1 species
CUUAUGUCAAUGGUCUUAAUUCCUCAGUUAAAACAUGUAGAUUGGAAGAUGGGAUUGAAGAAUAAGACCCAACUGAAUGUUGUCUCCAAGAAACACACCUCACAGGCAAAUAAAUCAACAGACUAAAAGUAAAAUGAUGGAAAAUGAUUUUAUAUGCAAAUGGAAUUCAAAUGUAAGCAGAGUCCCUAUUGUCAUGUCAAACAAAGAAGACUUUAAGACAAAACUGGUCAGAAGAGACAAAAAAGGUUUAUCACAUUGGUAAAGGGAACACUGCAACAAGAAGAUAUGACAAUUAUAAAUAUUUAUGCCCUGAAUGUCAGUUUGCCCAAUUUCAUAAAACAAACAUUACUAAAUAUAAAGGGUAUAAUGGGCCUAAUGCAAUAAUUGUGGGAGACUUCAGUGUAUCACUCUCACUAAUAAGUCAUCUACACACAAAAAAAUACAUCAGAUUUAAAUUAUAUUAUUGAUAAAACAACUUAACAGAUAUCUACAGAAUAUUUUAUCCAACAAUGGCUGAAUAAGCUUCCAUUUUAGCACUGGUUUUUCCAAAAUUGAUCAUAUUUUAAGGCAUAAAAUCUCAGCAAAUAAAAAAGAUUUGGUUUCAUACUCUUUUCAUAUAUUAAAGGAAUUAAAUUAGAAAUUAACAGCAAGAAAAGCUAUAGAAACUAUGCAAAUCCAUGGAGAAUUCAUUGAACAAUACACUUGAAUGAUUAAUGGGUUAUACAGUUAACCAUGGUGGACAUUUUAAAAUUCUUAGAAUUAAACAAAACUGGAAACACAAUAUACUAGAAGCUUUGGGGUAUGGUAAAAACUGUUAUAAGAGGAAAGUUUAUAGCAAUACAUGCCUGCAUAAAACAGCAGAGAGAUCUCAAAUAAUUGAACUGCUUAUUUGCAAACCAAUACCAAAAGUAAUAGAAAUAAAUAAUACAGAUCACAGCCAAAUUCAAGAAAUAGAAACAUAAAUAAUAGUAAAAAGGAUUAAGGAAGAGUUAGUUCUUUGAAACUAUAAUCAGUUUUUUAAAGUAGCUAAAAUAAUGAAAACAAAACAGAAGACCUAAAUAAAGUUAGAGAUUAAAAUGGAAAUAUUAGUGCAGACAAAACUGAAAUCUAUAGGGUCAUUAUAGACUAUUUUGAAAACUUAUAUUCCAAUAAAAUAAAAAUAUUUAGUAAAAGGAUAAUUUUUUAGACAUAUAUGAUCUACCAAAAUUAGAACAACAGGACAUGAUGAAUUCAUCAAUGAGACUGAAGCAGUGACAAAAAUGUCUUCCAACAAAGAAAAGCCCAGGACCAGAUGGAGUCAUAGCUGUAUUAUACUAGAUCAUUAAAUAUUAAUGCAAGUACCCCUCAAAUUAUCCCAUGAAUUAGAAAAGGAGAAAUGCUUCAAAACUCAUUCUACAAAGCCACUAUCAACCUGAUAGCCAAACUCAAUAAGAACACCCAAGAAAAGGAAAUACAGACCAAUUUCUUUGAUGGAUAUAAAUGUAAAACUCCUUAAUAAAAUAUUAGCAAAUAUUCAAUAAUGCAUCAAUUGUCACACACCAUAUUCAAGUUGGUUUUAUUUCAGGGAUGCAAAGAUAGUUCAACAUAGGUAAAUCAAUAAAUGUUAAUUCAUUACAUAAAUAGAAGUAAAGAUAAAUAUCACAUUAUCAUCUCAAUAAGAGCAGAAAAGUCAUUUGAGAAAAUUGAACAUCACUUCUUAAUGAAAACAAUAAAGAAACUAGGGAUAGAGGGAAC